AAUGCUUCCAAAUGAUGUUUGCUUCUUUUAAUUUCAUUUUUUUCAAACUUCGGCAUCCUAAACUUAUAUUUCUUGAUCUCAAUGCCUCCAAUAUACUUCAAAAACUUCUCUAAUCAUUAAGUUUGCCUCUUCUAGGCUUCUCCAAGUCGAGGUCAAUUUUCAUCAUUAUUUUGAUUAACUCUUUACUUAUAUUAUGUAACGUUGUGAUAGUUAUCAUAGGCAGUUUCGUG
rnacentral:lncRNA from 1 species